AGCGAACGCUGGCGGCAGGCCUAACACAUGCAAGUCGAACGAACCUUUCGGGGUUAGUGGCGGACGGGUGAGUAACACGUGGGAACGUGCCUUUAGGUUCGGAAUAACUCAGGGAAACUUGUGCUAAUACCGAAUGUGCCCUUCGGGGGAAAGAUUAAUCGCCUUUAGAGCGGCCCGCGUCUGAUUAGCUAGUUGGUUGAGGUAAUGGCUCACCAAGGCGACGAUCAGUAGCUGGUCUGAGAGGAUGAUCAGCCACAUUGGGACUGAGACACGGCCCAAACUCCUACGGGAGGCAGCAGUGGGGAAUCUUGCGCAAUGGGCGAAAGCCUGACGCAGCCAUGCCGCGUGAAUGAUGAAGGUCUUAGGAUUGUAAAAUUCUUUCGCCGGGGACGAUAAUGACGGUACCCGGAGAAGAAGCCCCGGCUAACUUCGUG
rnacentral:rRNA from 1 species